GUUGCUCCUUGAGGCGUUGCAGCCCCCCCUUGUGGUGGUGCUGUGUCAUUAGGAGCAUAGAGAGAAGGUGGAGGUUUGCACUGGAUCUGUCUGCAGAGAGAUGUCAGUGUCAAAUCACCACCAACAAA